ensembl:lncRNA
GGAAGAGUGAAAUUUCAUCAAGGAUCUCUGAUGAACACCUUGAGAGCUCAUUGAGAAUUGCAGCUAUUGCCACUGAACCAGAGCAGCAGCAGAACCCGUGUGCUUGCAGCUCCAUGCCAUGCCCAUUGGCUCCUACAUCAGCAUGGUGCAGGCCUACGUGACCACCCCAUCCGUUUGGGCACCAGGCCCACUCCACACCUGCAGUUUUGCAACUGUCUAUGCUGUUUUAAAACAAACAGCUGGAAUGGCCCAUUGAGCAAUUGACAGUUGCAACAAAAACUCACAUGAAGGUUGUGAAGGUUUCCAGCAAGCAAUUACACGUUACACUGGUGUUUCUGCCUCUCUGUUUAGACUAACUUGUAGCGGUUUAUGGGAAUUAUCUUUCCAGCAAUUUGUAGGGACUUCCAAAAU